AGUGCUAUAGUUUCAGGGAUUGUUUCUAUAGUUCAUUACCUAAGAAUUUUCUCUGAUCGUGUAGAGUGCCUGGAAUAAUGGGGAGUCAGAGCAUCCUCUCCUAAGCGUGAGGCCAGUUUUAGGUGUUGCUUCUACAACUGCCUUUUACUACUGAUAAUUGUUCUUCUCUUCCCUUUGAAGGGAGAUAGGGAGGAUGCAGUCUGA